GGUAUGGCUGUUCGCCAUUUAAAGUGGUACGCGAGCUGGGUUUAGAACGUCGUGAGACAGUUCGGUCCCUAUCUGCCGUGGGCGCUGGAGAAUUGAGGGGGGCUGCUCCUAGUACGAGAGGACCGGAGUGGACGCAUCACUGGUGUUCGGGUUGUCAUGCCAAUGGCACUGCCCGGUAGCUAAAUGCGGAAGAGAUAAGUGCUGAAAGCAUCUAAGCACGAAACUUGCCCCGAGAUGAGUUCUCCCUGAGACUWUAAGUCUCCUGAAGGAACGUUAAAGACGAUGACGUUGAUAGGCCGGGUGUGUAAGCGCAGCGAUGCGUUGAGCUAACCGGUACUAAUGAACCGUGAGGCUUAACCUUACAACGCCGAAG
rnacentral:rRNA from 1 species